UGUUAUCACUUGGUGAGUGGAUAAAUGCACUGCCCUGUUCACCUGUUCUCCAGGAAAGAUAAUGGAGGAGGCUACUUUUCCAGAUUAUCCACAAUGACUUUCUUUUUCUGUGGUCUGUUCAGUUCAAACCACAGGGAUUUGUUGGCUGGCUGGCUGGUACGAACAGUGCUUUUUGAGGAAUAGUUGCUGUAAUAUUCAUUAUUCCGAGCCUGACCUCAGACGAGGAUGCGGUGACCUUCCUAUAAUAAUGGAUACCCAUCACUCCCAAGCCUUAUGACCUUUCCUUUUUCUUUUUGGUUCUCCUGCCUUUCUCCACUGCAAAAGAGAGAGGUGGGGGGAGAAGGCAGCACAAUACAAUGCAGUCCUCUGCCAGCAGAUUUGUUUCAAAAGGAACUCAUGCAUCUUGCAUCUUGAAGAUGCAUUAUUAAUGCCUGGACAAAUCACAUCAGGUGGAACUCAGCAAGUCCUUGGCACUGAAAAAAGGAACAAAGGCUGGUUCUACAAGAGAGUGAAGGAUGAGACAAAUUAUAACAGCUGGAUGUUCCUUAAUCAAAAGAGAGUCCUGAAAAGCAGUUAAUCCAGUUUCUGCUCAAAAGUUUCCAGAGAAGGAGACCUCCCCUGAUCCCUCAACAAAUGCAUUUGACCUGUUUUGGUAUCUAACAGUUCUUUCCAAGCCAGAGUUCUGAACUGCACCAGUCUGAUGCAGUUCUGGAGUCUACAACUUCUCUGUCUCCCCUCCCACCACAUCCAGGGACAUCUUAGCUCUUCCACAGUGAAAUGCAAUGAUUUCAUUAUUAUUAUGGUAAUGUUAUUGGUAUUUUAAAAAUAAAAUAUAUCUUUCAGUAUAAUGGACAACAAACAUUUAAAGUUUAUAUGUACACUGAAAAUUAUAUUGGCCUUUUAUGUUGUGCAUCUUUAAGUCAGUGUAGUUGCUUUGAAGUAUGCUAAGUAUAGUUGUUGUAGUACAGUGUGCUUCUUUUGAAGUGAAAUGUGAGUAUGUUGACCUUUCUUGGCAUAUUUCGGAUUGUAGUGUCUUCCAGUCAAGCCAAUGAUAAUUAUAUCUGGUCUUGUGUGCCACUUUAAGAUUAAAUCCUAAUGUCCACAUAAAACAUUGAACCAGGUCCUUGGAAUAAAUGUAUUUUCUCCAGUGUCAAAUAUAUGGGUACAAUGAUAGCUAAGCAUGACUUUGUUUUUGUCAUGUAAUCAACUCUUCAUCGCAAA